GAUGAACGCUAGCGGGAGGCCUAACACAUGCAAGUCGAGGGGUAACGGAAGUAGCUUGCUACUAGACGACGACCGGCGCACGGGUGAGUAACGCGUAUGUAAUCUGCCUUGUACAGAGGGAUAGCCCAGAGAAAUUUGGAUUAAUACCUCAUAGUAUUACUGAGUCGCAUGAUUUGGUAAUUAAAGCUCCGGCGGUACAAGAUGAACAUGCGUGACAUUAGCUAGUUGGUAAGGUAACGGCUUACCAAGGCCACGAUGUCUAGGGGUUCUGAGAGGAUGAUCCCCCACACUGGUACUGAGACACGGACCAGACUCCUACGGGAGGCAGCAGUGAGGAAUAUUGGUCAAUGGACGCAAGUCUGAACCAGCCAUCCCGCGUGAAGGAUGACUGCCCUAUGGGUUGUAAACUUCUUUUAUAUGCAAAUAAACCUACUUUCGUGAAAGUAGCUGAAGGUAGCAUAUGAAUAAACACCGGCUAACUCCG
rnacentral:rRNA from 1 species